UUGGCAGAGAGUAUAAAAACUUUACCAAAAUAUCGGAAAUAUAAGGGUAAUGUUAAAACUGCAGAUGGACAGAAGCAAUUGGAUGGCAGGGACUGCGAAUUUGAGUUUUUGGUUAUUGAAUCCAUUAAGCAGAAUAUAAUAUGUGGUAUGGACUUCUGGAGGAAAUUCAAGAUUUUAGAGUCAUUAGAUUUGGAGGUAAAUGAGUUUUCUAGCGAGAAGGUGGGGCCCGAGUAUAUCGAGUUGAUGUAAGAUCAAAAAAUGAAGUUGGAUGCUGUGGUAGGUUCAUUUCCAAAUUCUUAGAAAGAUGGUUUAGGCUGUACUAGUUUAGUAGAACACCAUAGAGAUACUGGGAAUUCGAAACCGAUAAAACAAAGGUAUUACCCGAUAUCACCAGCCAGGGAAAAGAUUUUGUGAGGUGAGAUCGACAGAAUGAUUUCAUUGGGAGUUAUAGAGGAAUGCCCCCAGUCAGCUUGGUCUUCACCCGGUGUUCUCAUAGUAAAACCAGAUAAGAUCCGCUUUUGUGUUGAUAGCAGAAAACUUAAUGAGGUGACAAUUAAGGACUCAAAUUCGAUACCAAAUAUAGAGAGAAUAUUGUCGAGAUUGCCAUCUGUCCAGUUUAUAUCCAAAGUAGAUUUAAAAGAUGCCUUCUUGCAGAUUAAGUUAGACGAAGACUCAAAGCCAAAGACUGCUUUUACUAUUUCAAACCUCCCUCUUUAUCAAUUUACGAGAAUGCCAUUCGGGUUGUGCAAUGCACCCCAAAGUAUGUGCCGCUUAAUGGACCUUGUAAUUCUCUACCACAUGAAGACAAACGUCUUCGUCUAUUUGGACUAUUUGUUGAUUGUGUCAACGACUUUUGACGACCAUUUACGCCACUUGCAAUUAAUUUCAGAGCAACUUAAAAAGGCUGUACUCACAAUUAACAUUAAGAAGAGCUAAAAUAUUUAGGAUAUAUUGUUGGUCACGAAUCGCUUUCAGUGGAUCCUGAGAAAGUUAAGUCUAUUUCGGACUUUCCAGCCCCUAAAUCUGUGCGGGCACUCCGACAAUUUUUGGGCAUGUUCGGAUGGUAUAGACGUUUUAUAGGUGAUUUCGCUACAUGUACCUUUCCCUUGACUGAGCUUCUUUCCAAGAGAAACAAAUUUAUAUGGUCUCACGAUUGUGCAGUGCUUCUGUUUUGGCUCAUCCGGACUUUACUAAGCCCUUUAUUUUCAGUGUGAUGCCAGCAAUGUUGGGUGGACGCGGUUUUGGCUUAGAAGGAUGAUGAGGGAGUGGAGAGGCCGAUAGCGUACAUGUCGCAGAACUUAACAAGAUACAGCGAAAUUAUACCACUACUGAACUUGAGUGCUUAGCUGUCGUAUUAGCCAUAAAGAAAUUUAGGGCUUAUAUCGAGGGUUCUGAAUUUAAAGUUGUGACUGAUCAGGCGAGCCUUAAGUGGCUAAUGAGGCAGACUGACUUAUCUAGCAGAUUGGCAAGAUGGGCCUUGAAGUUGCAGACGUUUCAAUUUUCUAUAGAACACCGUCCUGGUAGAGAAAAUGUUGGUCUAUCUCGGAUGUUCGAGUCCGAAAUUGCAGAGGUGGAUGCAAUGCCGCUAAUAGACCUAGAUUCCGAGGAGUUUCGAAAUGAUGAGUAUCGAAAUUGGCGGAAUGAAUGAAUGGAAGGAAAUUUUAUUAUUAUUAAAUAUCUUCUUUGGGAAUAUAUGAGGAUACCAUUUCUUGGAGAUUAUUGGUACCGACGGGAUUACGUCAGAAUAUUGUGGUGUAGCCGAGACGGUAGAAUUGAUUCGGCGAUAUUUCUAUUGGCCUAAGUUGGUGGCGGAUGUAAAAAGUAUGUGGGAAGCUGUGAUAUAUGCAAGACGUCAGAGGUACCAACAUCGAUCCUAAAACCUCGAGAGGGUCAAAUGGCAGUCACCGAGAGACCGUUUCAAAUGUUAUAUGUUGAUAUAAUAGGACCAUUUCCUAGGACUAGUAGUGGAUGUACCGCCAUAUUAAUAAUCUUGGGUGAUUUCUCCAAAUUUACCUUUUUCAAGCCACUAAGGAAACUGGUGACUAAACCCAUUUUGUCAUAUUUGAAGGAUGAAAUAUUUCCUUGUUACGGUGUACCUGAGGUUCUGAUAUCUGAUAACGGAACUCACUUUAGGAGCAGAUGAUUCAAGAUGCUGGAAAAUGGCAUCAAGCAUCAAUAUACGGCAGUACACAGUCUGCAGUCAAACGCCAGUGAACGUGUUAACCGUUCAAUAAACGCGGCAUUGAGGGCCUUUGUAAGAGAGGAUCAUCGAAAGUGGGACAAAUAUCUACUACGUGUCAUUUGUGCUUUACGAAAUCCAACCCAUCAGACCACCGGACUUAGUCCGUAUCAGAUACUGUUUGGACAGAAUAUGAUUACACACGGCAAAGACUUCGAGAUAUUGAGGAAACUUCAGUUAUUGGAGGAGAAUGACACAAACUUACAGAGAUUGGAUAAGUUUUCGGUUCUGAGGGAGUCAAUUCAGAAGAAAUUGAACGCGUCUUAUAGAAAGAACGAAAAAUUAUAUAAUCGGAAUACAAAAUUGAGGUCGUUUGAUACUGGAAAAAUCGUUUUUCGCCGAAAUUUUAUUCAGAGUUCCAAGAUUAAUCACCGAGGACCGGGUCAGAUUGACAUGGUCCUCGGUUCUGCCUUUGGUAAAGGGGAUUCAGCAUUCAAACACAAAUCUUUACUUAAUUUGGAUGCGAUUUCAUGAAUAUUGGAAUAUAUUCCAAAGAGAAGCAAAACAGCUUCCAAAAAUCGCAUAUUUGGAAUAUAACGUCGGUUUAGUGGAAUUAAUUGCUUGAAAAACCCACAAAUAGCCUUUGCAAUCAAGAAUGGGUUAUUACAUUAUACCAUAGACUGUUUCUUUGCCUCGAUGGGACUCGCUAUUACAAUCUAUUAAGUUCAUAUCCUGUAAUACAAAAUUUACUACCACCCAUAAUACACACAUAUAUCAAAUUUUGAAAACAAGGAAUAACGAAAAGUUAGUUCCCAUAAUUAACUGAUGCACAAAAUUUACAUAUUGAGCUUUGCAUUGGUAAAUCAAUUUCAACAUUUGGAUUUAGAAAUGGGACUCCAUCCCGAAGUUAUCAGGCCUGGCGACGUCGUGGAAUCACAAAAUGGUCAAAAUGAGUACCCAAAAACAAAUGCAUGUUAUGCCAGGAACGCCAUGCCCUCAGAUACUGCCCAAAUUUUAUACAGAUGACGGUGGAAGACAGGAGAGUAGUAGUUCGACAGCACAACUAUUGCCGAAAAGCCACACCUUUGAUGUAUGCCAGUCGACAGAUUCAUGUCCAAAAUGUGGGUUUCGGCAUCACACCAUGCUGCACCUACGAAAUCUUGCCUUCAAAUCCAACAGCUCUACCACCACCACCAAAUCGACCUCAUCAAGACCACAACCCCAAAAGAAACCACCAACCACCACCUAGGCCAACGUCAGCACUCAGCCGCAGCUGUUCAACAACAGCGACAACCCAAAAAGCAUUAUAAGUCUUUGGCCGCCUACAACCCAAGCCAAGACCCCAGCACAAGCCAAAGACAAGACUUCACCAAACGCCAAAGUCACAGACAGCUAAAAAAGGACGCUCAGCACCCCCUCAACCUAAUUACUUGAUUUUAUCAGAGACUAUCAAAUGCUUGGCGACCGUACUUUGUUGCGUAACCGCAAGGCCGGCGCCACGGACAAAUUUGAAUUGUCCCUUAAAAUUAAAAAUAUAUCGUAGAAUAAGUUAUAUGAAUUGGAAAUUGAAGUAUAUUGUAAAUUACUAUGAAUUGUUUGGCGUAUAAGAGAUCUCCUUUUUUGCCAUCCGUACUAAUCUGGAAUAGCUUGUAAGACUAUUGUGAAUUGUUAUUUAUAAGCCUUUUAGCACCACA